AUUGAACGCUGGCGGCAUGCCUUACACAUGCAAGUCGAACGGCAGCAUGGGUGCUUGCACCUGAUGGCGAGUGGCGAACGGGUGAGUAAUGCAUCGGAACGUACCCGGAAGUGGGGGAUAACGUAGCGAAAGUUACGCUAAUACCGCAUAUUCUGUGAGCAGGAAAGCGGGGGAUCGCAAGACCUCGCGCUUCCGGAGCGGCCGAUGUCGGAUUAGCUAGUUGGCGGGGUAAAGGCCCACCAAGGCAACGAUCCGUAGCGGGUCUGAGAGGAUGAUCCGCCACACUGGGACUGAGACACGGCCCAGACUCCUACGGGAGGCAGCAGUGGGGAAUUUUGGACAAUGGGGGCAACCCUGAUCCAGCCAUGCCGCGUGAGUGAAGAAGGCCUUCGGGUUGUAAAGCUCUUUCGGCUGGGAAGAAAGUCGCAUCUCCUAAGUACGGGUGGUGGAUGACGGUACCAGCAUAAGAAGCACCGGCUAACUACGU
rnacentral:rRNA from 1 species